rnacentral:rRNA from 1 species
UACCACUCUGAUCGUAUUGGCUGUCUAACCUCGGACCGUGAUCCGGUCUAGGGACAGUGCCUGGUGGGUAGUUUAACUGGGGCGGUUGCCUCCUAAAGAGUAACGGAGGCCGCUCCAAAGGUUCCCCUCAGCCUGGUUGGCAAUCAGGUAUCGAGUGUAAGUGCACAAGGGAGCUUGACUGUGAGACCGACGGUCGAGCAGGGACGAAAGUCGGAACUAGUGAUCCGGCGCAUGUUUGUGGAAACGGCGUCGCUCAACGGAUAAAAGGUACCCCGGGGAUAACAGGCUGAUCUUGCCCAAGAGUCCAUAUCGACGGCAUGGUUUGGCACCUCGAUGUCGGCUCGUCGCAUCCUGGGGCUGGAGUAGGUCCCAAGGGUUGGGCUGUUCGCCCAUUAAAGCGGUACGCGAGCUGGGUUUAGAACGUCGUGAGACAGUUCGGUCCCUAUCCGCCACGC